CGCGAUCGAUUAAAAUUUAGGGUGUUUUAAUUUUUAAAUUCUAGUAUUUUUUUUUAAAUAUCGGGAGUGUCGUAAUACUUAAAACCGCGAUCGAAUUAAAAAGAAAGUUUUCCCUUUUUUCCUCGUUUUUAACACGUGGUUCGGGAGUGUCCGAAAUUUUCUGAAAUCGCGAGUGAGUGUUGUUGUUUGUUUUCCAAAGAUGACAACGUUGGAAUGCCUCUGCAAGCCUAAGGUUAACUUCUAUACCAAAACAGGAACAAUUAAGGUCACUGUCUUCUCACUAAUUGAAAUACACGAGGUGAACGAGUUGGGAUUGAUGCUGUUCCCUGAGAGGCUUAUUGUGAUCUACAAU